UACAGAGGUGGCAAGCGUUGUUCGGAAUUACUGGGCGUAAAGGGCGCGUAGGCGGCCUUCUCAGUCGGACGUGAAAUCCCCAGGCUUAACUUGGGAACUGCGUCCGAUACUGGAAUGCUUGAGUGCGGGAGAGGGAUGUGGAAUUCCAGGUGUAGCGGUGAAAUGCGUAGAUAUCUGGAGGAACACCGGUGUCGAAGGCGGCAUCCUGGACCGACACUGACGCUGAGGCGCGAAAGCCAGGGGAGCAAACGGG
rnacentral:rRNA from 1 species